rnacentral:lncRNA from 1 species
UGCAGCUUGCACACCAUGGCCCUCAUGGCUUAGGACAUCCCCACGCUGGACCCCCAGGCUCUGGGGGCCAGCCACCGCCCCGACCACCACCUGGAAUGCCUCAUCCUGGACCUCCUCCAAUGGGCAUGCCCCCCCGAGGGCCUCCAUUCGGAUCUCCCAUGGGUCACCCAGGUCCUAUGCCUCCGCAUGGUAUGCGUGGACCUCCUCCACUGAUGCCCCCCCAUGGAUACACUGGCCCUCCACGACCCCCACCCUAUGGCUACCAGCGGGGGCCUCUCCCUCCACCCAGACCCACUCCCCGGCCACCAGUUCCCCCUCGAGGCCCACUUCGAGGCCCUCUCCCUCAGUAAAUUCACAUUUUCCUUCCUCCUGUUACAUUUUCCCAAUAUCUUUUCUAUUCCUUGGACCAAUCAGAGAUGCUGUAGCUCCUUGGGGCAAAGGUACUAAUCCCUUUCAGCACCCCCACUCCAUUCCCCUUUUUAAUGUAACUUUUUCCACAGGAGGUAUUUCUUUUUUAUGUUGGUCCUGAGUAUUUUGCAAAUGCACAGAGAAAAUAAAACUAAACUCCUUGUUUAU